rnacentral:rRNA from 1 species
CCACACUGGGAUGAGACACGGCCCAGACUCGUACGGAAGCCAGCAGUGGGAAUAUUGGGCAAUGGGCGCAAGCCUGAUCCAGCCAUGCCGCGUGAGUGACGAAGGCCCUAGGGUUGUAAAGCUCUUUCGCCAGGGACGAUAAUGACGGUACCUGGAUAAGAAGCCCCGGCUAACUUCGUGCCAGCAGCCGCGGUAAUACGAAGGGGGCUAGCGUUGUUCGGAAUCACUGGGCGUAAAGCGCACGUAGGCGGAUCUUUAAGUCAGGGGUGAAAUCCCGAGGCUCAACCUCGGAACUGCCUUUGAUACUGGAGGUCUCGAGUUCGGGAGAGGCGAGUGGAACUGCGAGUGUAGAGGUGAAAUUCGUAGAUAUUCGCAAGAACACCAGUGGCGUAGGCGGCUCACUGGCCCGAUACUGACGCUGAGGUG